UGGUGUUUUCAUUGAGAGUUUUGAAACAACUUGUUGGGGUCGGAUUCCCCACAAGCAAGACCGAGCCAAACAGUCUAAGAAUAACAAUCACCUCAUGGUUAAACAUAUGAUUGGCCCCUAGCCUAGAACAAAGCACCUCGGGACCUUAUUCGAUCGACCGUCCCAAAGAGAGUUUGUAAAAUGGCUCGGGUGUUAAUCAUAUGAACACAGCCCGAGCCAAUCGUGAGAACGCUGCGGGAAACAUCUAUAUCGGCUCGGGAGACAGCCAACUGAGCUUAAUGGACAGUCAUCAAGCGCGCCCCGAGCCGGUACAUACCGUUUGCCCCGAAGCCACCUCUCAAACGACCACCGAGCCGUGAAGAACACGCGAGGCAAAGACUUAAGGAGAAUCUUUGAAGAUAAUGUUAAAAUCAGGAAAUCUCCCCAAAACCUCCGAAGAAUAAGGAGAAUAUCCUUAGGACGAUUAUCCUCUAGAACCGACCUAAGGAUAAAUAAGAAUCUUCCGAAGAAUAUCGCUAAGGGGGCGGUUUAAGGAUCCUAUAUAAAGUGCCUCAGGGACUUCACAAGAGGGGGAUCUUUGGAUACUCACAAGAACACAUAACUUUAUACCUAUUGAGAACUACGAAUGGCUUGAUCCCUUCACAGGGUACGUAGGCAAUCCAUCAUGGAUGCAGCUAUACCUUUUUAAAACCCUAACUCUUUUUCUGUUCUUGAGCAAAACCCUAAUGUAUUUCAUAAGAGAUUAGAACAUCUUUUGUAAUCGAGUCUUGGAUAGAAUACCUAAUGAAGAGAAAUUACUAGAUUUGUUUUCCCUCUCUAAACAAAUCUAUUGUGUGAAUCCUUGGUUCAACAAUUGGCGCCGUCUGUGGGGAACGACAAAGAACUCUCUUCGCAUAUCAUUCAUCCAAGUAUUCGAUGUACGCUCAUCAAGCCAAGACAAUCAGAUCCGUCUACUUGCGG
rnacentral:sRNA from 1 species